GUUUUACACUUGAUCUCUGAACUUCGUAAGUUCAUGUGUUGACAAGUUCAUCCAUUGAUGCA
rnacentral:snoRNA from 1 species